AAAAGAAAAUGUCAUGUCAUUUACAAAUAUUACAAAGCUAGAAAAACAGUAUCACACUGUAACAGCAAAAUAAAGGUUGUAAUAGGAUAGUAACAUCAUUGAAAGCAGCGAUGAGAAGGACACAGAUCAAGAAGAGUUCCUUAAAGAAGUGUUGGGCAGGACGGCUAGAGGUCAACACAGGAAGUGACCUCGACAUCUCAGUCAGCGCGUGCAAACGACUACACCGCGCGGUGCAUCAUCAGAGUGAUGUCACCCUUGCCAGGAAGGGUCUAACUGUGAGAAGUGAAGCAUUUGAUUCGCAGCUCGGCCUGCCAGUGACAAAUUUAUUUCACAUUAUUUCUUGGCCAUAAAGAUAUUUCUUGUCUUGCUAACAAGAGUCGUCGUCAUCCUGUGGAAAGCGUACUCACUUGACCGCAAAGAUUAAUAUUUAUGACGAUAGAAAGGUAGGAAUUAGUAUAGAUGCGGGUGUAGUUCGAUGUGUCGAUCAAGGAGACGUCACCAUAGGUGUUAGCUAUACGCUAUAUUAUAGACACCCCUGCAGCACUGCAUCUGUCGACUGCACUCUUGUGCAUACAAACAUACACGCAGAUAAACAAAGACGUAAGCAUAUAAACAUGCACACAAUCUCUCUCUCUCACACACACACAUACACAUUGAUUUAUCUAUGGGUGCUUACAUAUACAAUAUCACAUUCCUAAAAAGAUUUAGCAUGGCCUCGAACAAGUAUAGGCACAGUUCCGAAUAGUUUUAACUGUCGUCCAUAAGUGACAACACAACUAUGCUUUGAUUAAUGUGACCUAAAGUAGCGCGCGUGCGCACACACACACACAAACCCAAACUCUGAAAUGCGAUCGGUCGGACACUGGUGGGCGGUUCAGUGGUACAAGAACUAUUGACCAAUUAAAUAGAUCACGUAAACAGUGUCGUGUUACACAUCAUUAGCGCCCCAAACACUGUCGCAGUGCCACUUGCGUUACGCGGCAUCCGGUGACCACACGGGGUGGGGGCGGGGAAGGUGAAGGGGGGGGAUAACAUUUGCCAAGGGAGACCACACCGACGCCGCAUGCAUCUAACGGACGUUUCCUGCAGCGGUGGAGAGGCUGUGCAAUUAAAAUGCUCAACAGUCUCAUGUGCCCUACAAGCUGUGAAGAUGUUCGUCCUGGUUACGACAGAAAGUAGAGAAGCAUUUUAUUUAUGAAAUCUUGAAACUGUAGCCCUCUCAUUGCCUUCUUUCCUUCUGUGCACGUGUAUGAGAGUGAGCGAGAGGGGGAGGGAAUAUUUAUGCCGACAAUGUUUUGCCAUUUUAUCAAGCUGCACUUCUUCAAACGCAUCCUGUGAUCCAUCCAUCACCAUCACCACCUUCAGUAUCAUCAUGACAUUUCUCACAACCACGUUCCUCACGCAUCUCGUUAUCAGAUUCAUCCAACGAUGACACAUCCGUUCUACACGAAUUCACUUUGCUGUAAAACGCUUGAAAAUUUCAUUGAUUUUAAUUACUUUCAAAGAAGAUAUUGGCUGCCAACCUUGUCAUCUAUAUAACUGCGGUUCUCACCUACUCAUGAGCAUGCAAACAACAAGCACCAAGUUUACAAACAUGCGUUCAAUCUAGAAGACCUGCAUGGCAUGCGAUAAUUCAAAAACAAUUCGUAAAAUCUUUACGGCUAGCUUGUUAUGAAUGCAAAUUUUAAUGCUGGACAUACAAAUAAAAUGAUAUAAACUUUUGCAAUGAAAAAAAAAAAAAGACCUCUGUAAAUUAAAUCU